rnacentral:rRNA from 2 species
CGUGUAGGCGGUCUGAUUAGUCUGAUGUGAAAGCCCUGGGCUCAACCCAGGAAGUGCAUUGGAUACUGUCAGACUUGAAUACGGGAGAGGGUAGUGGAAUUCCUAGUGUAGGAGUGAAAUCCGUAGAUAUUAGGAGGAACACCGGUGGCGAAGGCGGCUACCUGGACCGAUAUUGACGCUGAGACGCGAAAGCGUGGGUAGCAAACA